UGGCAUUUUUCGAAGGUAGUCCGUGACAUUUACCUUAAAUAUUCGAAAAAUAGCGGUUUUCCGUGACUUUCUUGCAGAACUGGUCUAGCCACACAAGUUUUUCAUAUCCCAUAUAUUCAGGUUCAGCUUCUAAAAUGAGCUGUAGGUAGUUGAAUUUAGGUAUGACGAAAUGAAUUUUUCAGCACUGUCACUGGGUGUUAAAUUUCUAAUGUUAUGCCUGGUUUAGACUGUUCAAUUGAAACGAGCAUGUGAGUUAACUUCUUAAACAUGUUCAAUCCAAUGGAAUGACGUGUUUAGACUGUGUAAAUAACUUGGGAGUUCACUUGCGUGCUCUUGAAUGCAUCUCAAUUGAAGCAAGUGUUUACAUUGUUCAACUCGUGCGGAGCGUAAGCAAACUGAAUUGAAUUCAUCUCACUGACAGAUGACUUGAAUUCAGCUCACAUCGCGGGUUUAGACGGGGCAAGUGAGACGAUUUCGUUUGACUUAAGUUCAACAUGUUCAACUUUCGUUCACGCCAAGUGAGUUGCUCAUGUGAGAUGAAUGGUAGUGUUUACACGUUCAAUUCGCAUUCAAUUGGGCAUUUUCCAUUGACUUGAAUCAAGUCUUCCAUUGACUUGAAUCAAGUCACUUGCACUGUCUAAACCAGGCAUUAGACGGGGCAAGUGAGACGACUUCGUUUGACUUGAAUGAAAAAGUUCAACAUGUUCAACUUUCGUUCAAGUCAAGUGAGUUGCUCAUGUGAGAUGAAUGGUGGUGUUUACAUGUUCAAUUCGCAUUCAAUUGGGCAUUUUCCAUUGACUUGAAUCAAGUCACUUGCACUGUCUAAACCAGGCAUUGUUCAGUCUGUGCGGCCUCUAGCCGAAGACGGUGUAAAUGUAUUGCUGACUGCACCCCAAAUUGGAUUGACGAAAUAGUAUGUACACACCUUCAUGUGAUUGCAGAGCGCAGGACCACGUCGGACCUAAAGACACUACAGUACGGGCCCGAUUUUGUCAGCCCCAUUUUUCGACGAACCUUUUGCUCCCAUUAUCUAACGGUCAAACUUAACCAAUUCAUUAAAGAUCAUCAUCAAACUACACUGCUAAAAGGCAGAACAUAGAGGGAUAAAAAGUGUGAAUAUAUGUUUAGAUUUUUUCGUAUGCUGUUGGAAGGAGUUAAUUGCGAAACUAAUGCACCAAAAGGCGACGAGAUCACCCGUAGGGGUAGGCGGGACAAUAUGGACACCCGGGGCAAAAUGGCCACCUUCAAUAUUUUUAAAUAUGCGAACUUUUUUGAACUUUUAAUGAAUGGAGAAUAUAGUCCAUUUGUCUAAAACGUAGUUUCAGGAAAGCAACAUUCCAAAUUAAAAUUAUACUUGAUUUUACACGAAAAAGUUGCGUCCUCCGUUUUUUGUGCAUGGAAAUUAUAAUUUUCACACCAUCUAAAAUAAGAUUUAGUGAUUGCACCAUUAAUUGCAGGUCGAUUAAAACCUGAUAUUUCUAGAACACAUGCAAGUAGUUUUGCUGUAUCUACAUGCUUAACAUGUUUAUAUUUUCUUCUUUAUUAUAUCAAAAAUCAAGUUUGGAAAUAUCUUCUGCUGCCGGGGCAAAAUGGACACUCACCUUUUUGAAAGAAGCGGCAAGGGAAAAAUAUAACCUAAAUCACAAACCAACCAAAUUUUUCGAUUUCAGUAUAUUUUUGGUUAAAUGUUCACUAUAGUAGACAUAGGGUGAAACAAAUUGAUCAAAAAACGACAGCAGUGGAAAAUAGCUGUUCUAGGCACAGCUGUACUGCCGUGAAUCGCAUACCAGUCCCAUUUGCAUAGGAAAUCCAGCAAAGAUGGGACUGAUAUGCGAUUCACGGCAGUGUACAUGCCGACAAAAACGAAGUUUUAUCCAAAACAGCCUGAAUUUAAAUUAACUGAACAAAUAUGAACUACUUCGGCGUAUUGUUUAUCCAUAAUAGUUGUUUUGUAAUGAAAUGACUUUAUAGGUGUAAAUAAUGUACGAAAAUCGUAAUAGUCUCAUGGUGUCCAUUCUGCCCCGUAUGCUUGAAGACGGUCAUGAAAAACUAACAUUUUUCAUAACAUUUUUUGAAGUGGAUAAAUCAUUUUUCUUCGUGAGCAUUCUUAUGCAAUAGAUGCUAAAUAGACUUUAAAAGGAUACAUGUAUCAAAAAACUAAAUUUUUUUGACAUCUUGCCAGGUAAAGUUGGCAAAAACCUUAGGGUGUCCAUAUUGCCCCGCCUACCCCUAUUGAUGAUGAUAUUGCCGAACUGAAACAACAAAUAUGUAACUGCAAUACAACAGGCUCUUGCAAAUUCCGCCGUUGUUUUCUCUCGCGCUGAACCGAACAUGAAUGCGUCCUCGUCGAUCAAUUCGUUGAUCGUAAAUCACGCAAUUGCCGAAUCGUCACCCCAGAAACCGUCAGAAAACCAUUCCCCAGAAAACCAAUCCCCAGAAUUCCAUUCCCCAGAAUGUACCAUUCCCCAGAAAACCAUUUCCCAGAAACCCAUUCCCCAGAAUGUACCAUUUCCCAGAAAUCCAUUCCCCAGAAUGUACCAUUCCCCAGAAUUCCAUUCCCCAGAAUGUACCUACCAUUCCCCAGAAAAAAAUAAAACUAUUGCUUUAAUUCUGAAUGGUUUAUAUUAAUAGCUAAAAAUCAAAUAUUUAUUCGUAAAAAAUCACCGGAAGAAACAUCCUGCCAAAAAUUCUUAUUUGACAAGAAAGACUUCGGAAAUAAGCAUGAUUUGCUUUUACAAUUUAGGCUAUUGGUAUAAUUAUUGGCAUCGCAACUGCCCUGGCCAAGUUCGCAGGGGUUGACGGUAUUAAAGUGAAGGAGUUUCAUUUUGAUUAUUGUAAUGUAGUGUUCUUUAGUGAAACAUAUCACCUUUUUAACACUUUAAUGCGCCUCCAACGGUUCAUCACGAACCGGCUGCUGCAGAUGGAGUAUGGCUGAUCAUAUGCAUCAGACAUGCUCGAUAAACACGGAGGAACCGCCAGGGCUCAGUAGAGUCUAUUCCCAAGCAAUAGUUCCAAGUCGGUUGGAUUUGAGAAGGUUUUGAUGAUCGUUACAAAUCCUAAUAAAAGUAUUAUAGGAUUUGUGAAGGGUUUUGGAACCUUUAACAGCCAGCUGACUUCAAAAUGUUGUUUGGGCUCUAUUUUCCACGUUUCUCGGUUGAUUUUGAUUAGUAAUUUAUUAAUGUCAUAGUCGCUUUUUCGAUUUUUUACCAUGUUAGUUGGACAUAUUUUCUUUAAAUAAUGCAAUUAAAAUCAACCGACGAAUUAUUAGUGGGAAGGAGAUUUGCAGCACUUAAUUGUGCUGAUAGAUUCGAAGCUAACGUGCGAACACUUAAACGCAUUGUUGACGUCAAUGCGUUUGACGUGACAUUUUGGACAAAAACUGACUACUUUUUAUUAACUGAACAACGUUACUUUUGUAUGACUAGGUUGACAUUUCUAGGCCACGCAUGAGAAAAUGACAUGGUUUAUCGAGGUAGGACCGAUAGGACAGAACGAAUUUGAAUAUUUUUCAUAGUAUUUGUAGGGGGAUGAAUACAUAAUAGUUGACAAGCAAUUUUUGUUUUAUUACAAAUUGUAAUUUACAAUCAACUGACCAACUUGGCGUAUUUUUGUUUAUCUCUUAGAUGGUGUUAUGACACCAACAGAAAAAUAUCAGGAGUUCAGUUACAUGUUUCUGUGGGUUUUUCACCGAUGACAAUUUAAGGACACAAGAGAUGAACACAGAGAAGUAGAAAUAAAGAAAACAAUUGACACAGAAUCGACUCUAUUUUAACAUACGUGUUCGACUGAUUCGAUGAAUCUAUCUAGAAGGAUCUAGAAGACAAUUAACGCUAAGAUUGGAAAAAAGCUUGUAGUUGGGACUAGACUAAAAUAGUGGCCGAUAGGAAACAAUGCGCUAGACAGCAUUAUUAUUCAUUUUUUAAUAUUUACCCGUAGGCUUUUCGCCGGUUGACAGUACAGUAUUUAGCUGUGUACGAAGAUACGGAUUAGUUGGUGUACAGAUGACAAGGUUCUCACGGGAAGUGCUUCAAGCGAGGCUUACAUAACAACUGACAAUAAAGAAACCUAUUUUCCUUGACUUUCUACGCAAUCAACAUCCGACCGAACACACGUGUUUUCGUUAAUCUUCUAGGCAUUAUUAAGACAUGACGUAUGUGCAUGACGAAACAACUAGCAGGACACAGUUCCAGACGUCUCUUUUUAAUGACGACAUUCAGCAUAUUUCCAAUAAAACUACACUUCAAUAAAGUAAAGACUAAAGCUGCUAUGAUAGAACAGAUCAGAAUGACUUAAUUGACUUAUUGACUACAUAUUGGAGAUCUACUUCGAAUAACUGACAAAUUGACAAGAACCUAACUAAAUGCAUGGACCAUACUGCAAAAAAAAAACAAUUGACAAAAAGAAAAAAAAAGGGGGAAACUUUUAUUAAUAGUAGUUUAUGCAACAAGGUGCAGAAUGACGAUUUUUACAGCACGAGUCGUACAUUUAUCCAACGAGGCUUGCCGAGUUGGAUAAUUACGACGAGUGCUGGAAAAAUCGAGUUCUGCACCGAGUUGUGUACAACGUUUUUUGCAAUUUCAUAAAUUACCCUUGAGGAUAGUUUUCAACAAAACUUUUUCAUCAAGCAGCUGCACACUGAUGUUCAUAGCCAAUGUUUAAGAAAAUCUGAUCAUAAUAGAUUAUACUGUGCAGUUGUCACAAUUUUUCAUAACUGCGUCCAGAAAGCAUCAAGAAGUUGACCAAAACUGAAAACAGUGCUGUAAUGGUUCAUUACGCAACGCAAAUCAGUGCUGUAAUGAAUCAUUACAGCACUGUUAAUUAGGUUUGGGAAAGUAGGCCUUUUCCUGUCAGAUUUGCGUGAGGUAAAACAGCCUAUUACGAUGAGAAAUUGCAAAAAACUAUUUUUGUUCAACGCAGGCCAAAACAGUGUCGACUUGGGCCACGAUAUGCCUACGUACUUCUGUGUGUUGAAACAAAAAUAGAGGCUCAUAGAAGCAAACGUAGGGAAAGGGUGCGGUGUUAGAACAUAAGCACAGUGUGCUACCGCCGUAAUCACUAAAAAAAAAAAAAAAAAAAAAAAAAAAAUUAUUGGCAUCGCAACUGCUUACUUUUUCAACAUACAUUUUUCCUUCUUUUCUGCAUAGGCUGUUCUUUCGAAUUGUACUUUUCAGUAAAUUAUCGGCAUCAAAACUUUUUACAUUUUCUACGUAGUUUUUUCCUUCUUUUCUGCAUAGGCUAUUCUUUCAAGUUACACUAUUCAGGUCAUUAUCGGCACCACAAGCACAGGUGUUUAGAAAUUUAGAAAAAAUAUGAAAUAAAUAUAACAGCAAUUUUAACACCGGUGGAGGCUCUAAUGCCCAUAAUUUCCCGAAAAGUGCAAUUCGAAAGAACAGCCUAUGCAAAAAAGAAGGGAGAAUCAAUGUUAAAAAAGUAAGCAGUUGCAAUGCCGAUAAUUUCUUGAAAAGUGCAACUGGAAAGAACAGCCUAUGCAAAAGAAGGGAAAAUUUUUGAUAAACAUAUAAGCAGUUGUAAUGCCAACAAUUCUUAUAACGACUCAAACAUUGUUUUUAACGAAGAAGGAAACGUAACACUCUGAUAAUUUCCAUCGUACAUCGAUUUAAAGGUUUAUUUGAAAAUUUGAGAGUUGACCAACUGCCAAUUCGCGGCGCUCGCAUAGUUUUUGUUUGAGUUUGACGUUUGCUCACUACUGCCACCUAGUUGAUGAUUGGCCAAAUUCAGUCCUUUUAGAAUUAAGCGAACCUAUUUCCGAGACUAAAAUUUAAAUCGAAAAAUGUUCGAAGUAUUACGUCUGUUUGUCUGUGGUGACAUUGUUUUCCUUGCGGCAUUCAAAAACCCAACACUGUUCCUUUUUUUAAACAAGCUUUUUUUUAGAAUUUAGGCAAUUGGUACAAUUAUUGGAAUUAUAACUGCUUUCAUUUUCAACAUAGACUUUUCCUUCUUUGCUGCAUAGGCUGUUCUUUCGAAUUGCACUUUUCAGAAAAUUAUCGGCAUCACAACUGCUUACUUUUUCAACAUAGAUUUUCCCUUCUUUUCUACAUAGGCUGUUCUUUCAAGUUACAAUGUUUAGGCUAGUUACAAUCGGCACCACAAGCACAGGUGUUUAGAAAUUUGAAAAAAAAUUAAUAAUAAAUAUAACAGCAAUUUAACACCGGUGGUUGUAAUAAUGCCCAUAAUUUCCUGAAAAGUGCAAUUCGAAAGAACAGCCUAUGUAGAAAAGAAGGGAGAAUAUAUGUUGAAAAUGUAAGCAGUUUUAAUUUAAAUUUUUUUACUAAUUGCCUUAAUUUUAAGAAGAAUAUUGUUUAAAAAGAAGGAACAUUGUUGGGUUUUUGAAUGCCAAAAGGAAAACAAUGAUACUUUUUCCCUUCUGUUGGCAUUCAAACUGCUUAUAUGUUCACUUUUUCUAUUCCAUUCCAUAGUAUUGGAAUAAUGAUGAAAGCCCUUCUCAUACCGCAUGAAUGAAGAGCCUUUGAAGCGAAUAAUUAGGAACAGCCAUUGGGAUGGAUCCCUCCAACCGUUUGCAAAGAAAAACGUGGUCAGUUGAGUCUUAAGUAUCUUGUACACUGAACAACAUCAGAAGAAUAUGCGUUUUCUCUGUAAAUUUUGCACAUCACUUUUAAAACGUUAUUCAUCGUAAAACAAGUGCUGCACAAUUUUCACAAA